rnacentral:rRNA from 1 species
UUAACUUAGAGUUUGAUCCUAGCUCAGGGUGAACGCUGGCGGCGUGGAUGAGGCAUGCAAGUCGAACGAGCACCAUUAAGGUUGUCUGACCACAGUGGUAAAGAUACCUACGGUGGUUUUGAUCUCUAUAUCGAGACAAAGAUUACUUUAAUGGUGCUCGUGGCAGACGAGGUAGGAACACGUAGGUACGUACCCCGUAGUCAGGAAUAACCCGGCGAAAGUCGGAAUAAUACUUGAUACACUCUUCGGAGGAAAGAUUUAUCGCUAUGGGAACGGCCUGCGUUCUAUCAGCUAGUUGGUACGGUAACGGCGUACCAAGGCAACGACGGAUAGGGGAGGUGAGAGCCUGACCCCCACCGAUGGAACUGAGACACGGUCCAUACUCCUACGGGAGGCCGCAGUCGAGAAUCUUCCGCAAUGGGCGAAAGCCUGACGGAGCGACGCCGCGUGAUUGAUGAAGUCCUUAGGGACGUAAAGAUCUUUUAUGAGGGAGGAAGUUUAUUGACGUUACCUCAUGAAUAAGGGGCUCCCAAUUCUGUGCCAGCAGGAGCGGUAAUACAGAAGCCUCAAGCGUUACCCGGAUUUACUGGGCGUAAAGGGUGUGUAGGUGGUGUGAUUAGUCGGGUGUUAAAUCUCUGGGCUCAACCCAGAGCUCGCAUUCGAAACGGUCACACUAGAGGAAGUGAGAGGUGUGUGGAACUCACGGUGUAGGGGUGAAAUCCGUUGAUAUCGUGGGGAACACCAAAAGCGAAGGCAGCACACUGGCACUUUCCUGACACUGAAACACGAAAGCGUGGGUAGCGAAUCGGAUUAGAUACCCGAGUAGUCCACGCCCUAAACGUUGUCCGCUAGCUAUGAGGAGUAUCGACCCUCUUCGUGGCGAAGCUAACGCGUUAAGCGGACCGCCUGGGUAGUACGAGCGCAACCUUCAUUUCAAGCUCUACCAGGGGUGCUCCACGAAGCGGUGAGAGGUCGAUCACCUUGGAAUUCUUAAGAAUGAGAAAUUCGAGCGGCAUACCU